rnacentral:ncRNA from 2 species
UUGUUAUCAAGAAAGGUUGAGGGAUUAGACCCAAGGAAACCUUGGCAACCCUUUUAUGCUGAAAUCUAUUCAGUAUCUUAAAGAAGGUGCUAAUUUCUACUGAAUAAACAGAGAGAUAACGG